UACAGAGGUCCCGAGCGUUGUUCGGAUUCACUGGGCGUAAAGGGUGCGUAGGUGGUGGGAUAAGUCGGAUGUGAAAUCUCGGAGCUCAACUCCGAAACUGCAUUGGAAACUGCCCUGCUAGAGGUUUGGAGGGGGGACUGGAAUACUUGGUGUAGCAGUGAAAUGCGUAGAUAUCAAGUGGAACACCGGUGGCGAAGGCGAGUCCCUGGACAACACCUGACACUGAGGCACGAAAGCUAGGGGAGCAAACAGG
rnacentral:rRNA from 1 species